UGACGCUGUUCUUCUGGGAAGCAUCUCUCUCUCUCUCUCACCCCGCAGAGAAAAUGGGCCCGCUCUCUAAGAAGCGCAUGAUCAUCCGCGAUGGCGUGUUCUACGCCGAGCUGUUUGAGUUUCUCAAGCGCGAGCUGGCCGAAGAGGGCUUCUCCGGUGUCUCUUACCAUGUCACGACGCUCCGCACGGAGAUCGUGAUCAAGGCGACGAAGACCCGUGAGGUGCUCGGCGUGAACGGCCGCCGCAUCCGCGAGUUGACAGCCUGCAUUCAGCAGCGCUUCAACUACAAGGAGGGCAAGCUCCAGCUGUACGUUGAGCGCGUUGAGGUGCGCGGCCUGUCUGCGAUGGCGCAGGUGGAGUCCCUUCGCUUCAAGCUCCUGAGCAACCUGCAGGUGCGCCGCGCCGCCAUGGGCAUCAUCCGCUACGUCAUGGAGUCUGGUGCCAAGGGCUGCGAGGUCACCGUCGGUGGAAAGAUCAAGGGCCAGCGUGCGAAGAGCAUGACCUUCCGCGACGGCUACAUGAUCAAGUCCGGUACGGCUCACAAGUCGUUCGUCGACUCCGCCUGCCGCCACUGCUACAUGCGCGCCGGCUGCAUCGGUGUCAAGGUCAAGAUCAUGCUGCCCGGUGACUCGACUGGCCGCAACGGCCCGUCGGAGCCGCUGCCGGACGUCAUCACCGUCAUUGAGCCGAAGCAGAUCACCGCAUCUGAGUAACGGGCAGGGGGCAUCGACGAAGGCAGCGAGAGACGGACAGCUGCGGGACAAGGAACGGAAGAACAGCAACCGCGCACACGUGCUCUCGUUUUGAUUGUCUUUCAUGUUUCUUUUUUUUAGUGCGUGUGCGCAUGGACAUGACGGAGUGACGAAGUAAGCGCGCUGGCGGGCGCGCGUGAGAGAGAGAGCGAACGAUCUUCUGUCAUCAUCUUGUGUGCGUGUGCAUGUGUGCUCGCGCGUGCAUUCUUUCUGUUUUCGUUACGAUCACCAAUGAUGAUAUGCCCACCUGCCUCCCUCCCUCUCCGGCUUGUCUCUCUCCCUCUCCCUCCCGUCCGGGUCCGUACGCACAGCGCCGCUUCUUUCCUCAUUUCACUCUG
rnacentral:misc_RNA from 1 species